AACGAACGCUGGCGGCAUGCCUAACACAUGCAAGUCGAACGAGACCUUCGGGUCUAGGGGCGCACGGGUGCGUAACGCGGGGGAACCUGCCCUUAGGUUCGGAAUAACUCCCCGAAAGGGGUGCUAAUACCGGAGAAUGUCUUCGGACCAAAGAUUUAUCGCCUUUGGAUGGGCCCGCGUUGGAUUAGCUAGUUGGUAGGGUAAAAGCCUACCAAGGCCACGAUCCAUAGCUGGUCUGAGAGGAUGAUCAGCCACACUGGGACUGAGACCCGGCCCAGACUCCUACGGGAGGCAGCAGUGGGGAAUAUUGGACGAUGGGCGAAAGCCUGAUCCAGCAAUGCCGCGUGAGUGAUGAAGGCCUUAGGGUUGUAAAGCUCUUUUACCCGGGAUGAUAAUGACAGUACCGGGAGAAUAAGCUCCGGCUAACUCCGUG
rnacentral:rRNA from 1 species